CUCUUUGUGACCUCUCCCUUUUACAGACACAAACCGUGUUACCUGAGCCUGGUGAAAUCACAGAACCCUGGCUGGGUUGGGCUGGAAAGGACCUGAAAAAUCACCCAUCGAAACUCAAAUCUCUUCCCGGGUGAUGGAAUUUCCUUUAAUCCUCUGUAGGAAGGAGGUUAAAAAUCCAAGCAGCAAACACCAGGAGUGGCGAGGGAUGAGGUCAGAGUUUGAAGAGCUUUUGCUGCAGAUUUUGUGCCAGAAAUUUGGCUGCAGGAAAAUCACAGGAUCAUUCAUCCCUCACUGUCUGAUUUGGCAUUGACUUUGCUUCCCUCUCCCUAGGCUCAAAGACAAGAAAGCCAAUACACAGAAUUAUCCCUGGACUCCUGUAGGUUCUGCAGAUUUGCUGGAUUAUUGAUAUAAUUCUUUUUUUUUUACUGGAUGUUGCAUUAAACCCAGCUCUCUCUUCCCUCUGUCUUCAUUAAAUCAGUUUAUUCUCCAUUCUCCCCCUUCUCCUUAAGCUCCCAGUUUUAACAAAUCAUCCCUCAUCCUGCAGUGGUGGAAACCACAUCUUCCACUAACCUUUUCUCACUUUGCUCUCCCUCCUCCCAGAGAGGACUCCAGCAGAGUCAUUUCUUGGCUCUGGUUUACCAGGAGGCUCCAGAUAGGACAGAGCUGGGCUGAAACCAAAACCCAGCCCAAGUUCCGCCAUGCCUUGGCACAGGGCAGGCAGACACGACAGGUUCUGGGAUUUCUGCACUCAAACAUGUCCUUUAGCAGAAGGGAGGAGGGGAACCCCGCUGCCUGAGUCACAAGUGGAGUUUCUGCAAUUUCCAGUUCCUCCAGGCUUCUUUCCUCAAUCACAGCCUCAUUAACGAGGCACCCCUCGAUCCAAGUGCCCCUGAGGGCUCUGCUUUGCUGUUCAGUGUCCCUGUUUGGAAACGCGGCGGUGUCACAGCCUGUCCCUGUCCCUGGGGCACCCGGGGGCUCCUGCCCUGCCCUGCUGUGAAAUACAAAGCUGUGUUUUGUGUCAGGCACACACAGGCAGCCUGUGAUUGUGACAUGUGUGCAAACUGACCGUGGGACAGUUAUAAA